CUUUUCCAAGGACUUUUACAAGUGGAUUGAUGUUUGACUAAAUCAGACUCUGGACUGUGCUGCCAAUUUUCACUGCCUACUCACUGUGGGGGCUGUGGAGUAAUUCUAACAAAAAAGACUGUCUACUAAAAAGAAUAAAACUUCAAAUAGGAAAGACUGCAUCCCCUUUUCUAAUGAGGAAGUCAGAAAAUAAGACGAGAUUUGGCAAGCCCCAACUUGAGAAAUGGAAGCAAAGGAUGUAACUAGAAACCAUCUCAGAAAUCUAAUCAGCCUCACAAGCCUACAUAAAUCAGCAAAAGGAAAUUUGGCCUGGCAGAAGAGACAGAUUACAGAUCACAGCUGCAGAAUCUAAAAUUCCUGAUCAAACGGAUCAACAAUGUAAAGAAGCACAUACAUUUGUAAAAGGUUCAGUGGCUUUAUCUUGGGAUCUUUCUAAAUAAAGAAUCCCUCUACCAGAUCCAGAAUUUGUAAUUUAUUAUUAAUAAGAAUAAAUAUUUCAGUGUCUGUGCAUGUUCAUUUGAGUAUCUGAAGAGGUUAGUGAUGUACACUUAAAGCUAGUGGUUUGGUUUGCUUGUUGAUUGCAUAGUGCACACGUGCAUGAGUGACUACAUGUCUAUUAGUCUCUAAAAAAGCCUGGCCCUCAGGCAAGACUGGAUGUCCAUGAUUCUAGGAUAACAUUCAGCUAUCAGUAUCCCAUUAAUAAAUGAUAUUAUUUGCACACUUUGAGCCUUCUCCCGUACCACCAGACCUGUCUACCUAGCAAAUUCCAGACUCAGCUGAUACCAAAUAUGUUACUUUUAGAUAAGAUCUGUUCCAGAAUCUGGGCUAUUUGAUUUCUAAUCCCAGGAGCUGGGUCUUUCUUCCUUAAGGGCAGGCCAUCCUGUCAGUCUAUCUGGAUCUUCUCUACUCCCAUUCUGCAUCAUGAAGUCUAAUAUCCUAUAUUUCAUCCUCUUUGACUUCUGGUGUCAAAUGACUCUGCCAAUGGCUGGGAUUUUAGCCACAAACCUGGAAAUUGCAAGGCAAAUCUUAUCUUUAUAAAUACAAGACAUCAAGUGUGGAUAAAAUUUAGUAUAAUUUACCAAGAGUUCUAAGUUCCAAAUUUUAAAGUCUCGAUUGCAUUUCUAUUCCAUUACUUAGUUUAUAUACAUACAACACUCUCAUUCACAUUAUACCUGUUCUGUGUAGUUUUCAAGGGUGUGAACAUAAGGUAAGCAAUUUCCAUUUGAGUUGAAAGGUUAAUAUAGUAUGCCUAGAGCUUUAUUUUCUUGAGUUCCAAAGGGAUUACACCAAUCUUUGUGUCAAUCAAGACUUCACUGGAAUUAUUCAGUGUCUUCUUUCAAAUAGUCUGUUUUCUUUUCUGGAUCUCACCUGUGGUGACGCUGCUUUCUUAUCAGUUGUGCUAUAGUGUUUCUUAGUUUUGUCAUUUCAUACCAGAUUUAUACCUAGCUGUUUAUGGACCAGGUAGAGCCUGGCAUAGACCAUACAUGUGGGCAAUCUGAUUAGACUCUCUGCCCUUCAGUUUUUCUUGAACCAAGUUUAAUUUUGUAGCUUCUUGGCUUUUGAUAGGAACUGAGGUUGAUCAGGAGGAAAGGAGGACA